UACGAAGGGAGCUAGCGUUGUUCGGAAUCACUGGGCGUAAAGCGCACGUAGGCGGCUUCUUAAGUCAGGGGUGAAAUCCUGGAGCUCAACUCCAGAACUGCCUUUGAUACUGAGGAGCUUGAGUCCGGGAGAGGUGAGUGGAACUGCGAGUGUAGAGGUGAAAUUCGUAGAUAUUCGCAAGAACACCAGUGGCGAAGGCGGCAUCCUGGACCGGUAUUGACGCUGAGGCGCGAAAGCGUGGGGAGCGAACAGG
rnacentral:rRNA from 1 species